CCCCUUUUAUUUUCAAGUAUCAAGUUUCUUUAUUUAACGAACGUUGUCAAAGGAUAAUGAUAUAUAAAAAUCGUGUAGUUUUGCUGUAAAAAGCUUGGAGAAGUAGUGCUGGUGUUAUCUUGUCUGCUCCAUUUAUCCAUUAAAUAUAUGUAUGAAGAAGAAGAAAUACCACGUUGCCUCUCCUUCUUCUUCUCAUUCUGAUAUAAAGUUGUUGGGAUCGGCUUAUCUUACACUCCUACAUAUAUAUAAGAAAUAGUUAAUGCAAGCAGUGAGAGGAGGAGGAGGAGGAGGAAGAAGAAGAAGAUGAUGAUGUUGUACUUGUGGUUGGGAUUUAUGUAUGGGUUAAUGAUGUGCUCUUUAACAUGGAAAUGUGUAAACUGUUCUGAAUUCGAACACUCUCAGCCUCUGCCUCUCCAAGAUUGGAAUAAUAAUGUCACUUAUAAAGCAGCAGCAUUUGCAUAUGCAUAUGCUCGCCGCACACCACCGUUAAUGGUGGGUCUUACACUUGUUAAUGCGGCUGCUUCAAAGGGAGCUGUCUGCCUGGACGGCUCAUUACCAGGAUACCACAUCCACAGAGGAUAUGGAUCAGGGGCAAACAGUUGGCUCGUUCAAUUGGAGGGCGGAGGAUGGUGUAAUUCAAUCAGAAAAUGUGUUUUUAGUAAGAAAACACGCCAUGGUUCUUCACAUUAUAUGGAAAAGCAUAUACCUUUUGAAGGCAUUCUCAGCAACAAAAAUGAAGAAAAUCCUGAUUUUUAUAAUUGGAACAGGGUCAAGGUUCGUUAUUGUGAUGGUGGAUCUUUCAGUGGAGACAGUCAAAAUGAGGCAGCACAACUCUAUUUUAGAGGACAAAGAAUCUGGUCAGUUGUCAUGGAAGAUUUGAUGUCGAAAGGAAUGCGCUAUGCUAAUCAGGCUCUUCUGUCUGGAUGUUCAGCUGGGGGUUUAGCAGCUAUAAUACAUUGCGACGAAUUCCGGCAUUUAUUUCCAAGAACUGCUAGAGUCAAGUGCCUCAGUGAUGCUGGUUUAUUCCUUGACGUACCUGACAUCUCUGGUUGGCGCACGUUAAGAUAUAUGUUUGCAGGAGUGGUCAUGCUGCAGGGGAUGCAAAAGAACCUGCCCCAGGGUUGUACUAAGCGCUUCAAUCCAAUCAUGUGCUUUUUCCCUCAGCGAUCAAUUGCUAGCGUCAGGACUCCACUUUUUCUUGUCAAUACAGCUUAUGAUACAUGGCAGGGUGUCACGACAUGUUAAUACCAACACCAUUUACGGCAGCAGUGUAUGCACUGAAUCGUUCAUACAGAUACAGUCAGAUCCAGGUCAGUUUAGCUCCUGCCUCAGCUGAUCAUCAUGGAUACUGGAACGGAUGCAGAAAAAACUAUGCACGCUGCACUGGAUCACAAAUUAGUUUUCUUCAAGGUUUCAGAAAUCAAAUGCUCUAUGCUGUAAGAGGCUUCUCAAGGUUGAAGAAAAACGGAUUCUUUAUAAAUUCAUGUUUUGCUCAUUGCCAGACAGAGAGACAGGACACAUGGUUUUCUCCAGGUUCUCCCCACAUUAAAAGCAAGGGGAUAGCGGAGUCUGUUGGCAACUGGUAUUUUGAUCGUGCUGUUAGCAUGGCUAUUGACUGUCCGUACCCUUGUGACAAUACCUGCCACCACCUGGUGUUCAAGUGAUUUUCUAGUUAUAAAGCUACGAUAUGUGUCAUUGAACUUUGAAGAAAAUAAAAUCUCGUUAAGCAGUUCAAGUGAUGGUCAUCAAGACUCGGUUGCCUUUUUCGUUUUUUCUCUUACAUCUUCACUGAGUUGAAGGGUCAUGAAAGUUGUAAAUGGCAACGUAGAAUUUAUAAGCUGUGAGAUUCAUGCAUGGGAACAUGCUGAAGGAUCUACUACACUUUUGGUUGUUAAGGAAACUUGGGGAGACAGCUGCCUGCUGAAACUAGCUAGUUUUGAUUCAGACAACUUCUAGGCAUUAGGAGUUCAAUUGUCAAUCACAAAAUAAUAAUGAUUAGAAGUACGUUGAUCAUAAUUUCUCAUGGCAUCAUAAGAAUUCUGCUUAGUCAUUUGAUAAAGACGGCCACCAGGAUGAUCAUCGGCAAAGUUAUUAUA